CCUACGGGUGGCAGCAGUGGGGAAUAUUGCACAAUGGGGGAAACCCUGAUGCAGCGACGCCGCGUGAGUGAAGAAGUAUUUCGGUAUGUAAAGCUCUAUCAGCAGGGAAGAAAAUGACGGUACCUGACUAAGAAGCCCCGGCUAACUACGUGCCAGCAGCCGCGGUAAUACGUAGGGGGCAAGCGUUAUCCGGAUUUACUGGGUGUAAAGGGAGCGUAGACGGCCAGACAAGUCAGAAGUGAAAGCCCAGGGCACAACCCUGGGACUGCUUUUGAAACUGCCGGGCUGGAGUGGAGGAGAGGUAAGCGGAAUUCCUAGUGUAGCGGUGAAAUGCGUAGAUAUUAGGAGGAACACCAGUGGCGAAGGCGGCUUACUGGACUGUAACUGACGUUGAGGCUCGAAAGCGUGGGGAGCAAACAGGAUUAGAUACCCUUGUAGUC
rnacentral:rRNA from 1 species